rnacentral:rRNA from 1 species
AGUGAACGCUGGCGGUAGGCCUAACACAUGCAAGUCGAACGGCAGCACAGUAAGAGCUUGCUCUUACGGGUGGCGAGUGGCGGACGGGUGAGGAAUACAUCGGAAUCUACUUUUUCCUGGGGGAUAACGUAGGGAAACUUACGCUAAUACCGCAUACGACCUACGGGUGAAAGCAGGGGAUCUUCGGACCUUGCGCGAUUGAAUGAGCCGAUGUCGGAUUAGCUAGUUGGCGGGGUAAAGGCCCACCAAGGCGACGAUCCGUAGCUGGUCUGAGAGGAUGAUCAGCCACACUGGAACUGGGACACGGUCCAGACUCCUACGGGAGGCAGCAGUGGGGAAUAUUGGACAAUGGGCGCAAGCCUGAUCCAGCCAUACCGCGUGGGUGAAGAAGGCCUUCGGGUUGUAAAGCCCUUUUGUUGGGAAAGAAAAGCAGCAGGUUAAUACCCCGCUGUUCUGACGGUACCCAAAGAAUAAGCACCGGCUAACUUCGUG